GUAGAACGCUGAAGGAGGAGCUUGCUUCUCUGGAUGAGUUGCGAACGGGUGAGUAACGCGUAGGUAACCUGCCUGGUAGCGGGGGAUAACUAUUGGAAACGAUAGCUAAUACCGCAUAAGAGUAGAUGUUGCAUGACAUUUGCUUAAAAGGUGCAAAUGCAUCACUACCAGAUGGACCUGCGUUGUAUUAGCUAGUUGGUGGGGUAACGGCUCACCAAGGCGACGAUACAUAGCCGACCUGAGAGGGUGAUCGGCCACACUGGGACUGAGACACGGCCCAGACUCCUACGGGAGGCAGCAGUAGGGAAUCUUCGGCAAUGGACGGAAGUCUGACCGAGCAACGCCGCGUGAGUGAAGAAGGUUUUCGGAUCGUAAAGCUCUGUUGUAAGAGAAGAACGAGUGUGAGAGUGGAAAGUUCACACUGUGACGGUAUCUUACCAGAAAGGGACGGCUAACUACGUGCCAGCAGCCGCGGUAAUACGUAGGUCCCGAGCGUUGUCCGGAUUUAUUGGGCGUAAAGCGAGCGCAGGCGGUUAGAUAAGUCUGAAGUUAAAGGCUGUGGCUUAACCAUAGUAGGCUUUGGAAACUGUUUAACUUGAGUGCAAGAGGGGAGAGUGGAAUUCCAUGUGUAGCGGUGAAAUGCGUAGAUAUAUGGAGGAACACCGGUGGCGAAAGCGGCUCUCUGGCUUGUAACUGACGCUGAGGC
rnacentral:rRNA from 1 species